UACGGAGGAUCCGAGCGUUAUCCGGAUUUAUUGGGUUUAAAGGGUGCGUAGGCGGUCUGAUAAGUUAGAGGUGAAAUGUCGGGGCUCAACCCCGAAACUGCCUCUAAUACUGUUGGACUAGAGAAUAGUUGCGGUAGGCGGAAUGUAUGGUGUAGCGGUGAAAUGCUUAGAGAUCAUACAGAACACCGAUUGCGAAGGCAGCUUACCAAACUAUGUCUGACACUGAGGCUCGAAAGCGUGGGGAGCAAACAGG
rnacentral:rRNA from 1 species